CUCCACCCCCUGCCUCUCACAGUUCUCCCCCCACCAAUGCACAGACUGGAGCAGCGCAUGAUUCCAGCACUCCACUUCCAGGGGAUUCUCUCUAUCCAAAUGCCCCUGUGCCUCCAACACAGUAAAAGAAAUGGUGAGAUUUAAAGGGGAUCAGUGAUUCCAGUGAAGAAAAUGAAGGAGAUUAGAUAGAAAGCAAAAGAGACAGAGAUAUAAAGGGAGCGAUAUCUUCUCUUUUUGUCGCUUGCAUCAUUUUUGGGAGAAAAUUAUAUAAAUGAAUUCUUGCCAGCAUCUUGAAUAUGACAUCAUUCAAAAUAAAUAGCUAAAGCUAAACACAGAUAACCUUUAAACUGACUGACAAAUAAAACAGAAAAAAAAGACCUUUGGUUUGGACGUUUGGAAAGGUCUUAAACUGAAACCCCUCUUAACACCCAACAAAAAGCACUCCUUACCCAAACAGCCUGCAUCCAAGUACCAGGCACAAGGCUCAAUAUUCCCUUGUCCGUCCUCCAUUUUCAGUAACAUCUCUUAACUUUGAGGCGAACUACAGGAUCCAAGGUACCUGUGAUCUGCACUCCAGAAGCAUCUCAAUGUACUUUAGGUACUCAUAUGGAAACAAACAUACAAAAGAAAACCAAGAACAGAUUGCACUUUGAGAAUGUUUCCGAUUCUUACUUUUUGGAGGGAUGAAGCAUAAAGUCAAAAUUAGCCCUGACUUAAUGUUUUCUUUUAACAACGUUAUUUUUAUUACUUAAUCUUUGUAUUUGUUACAUAGAAGCACUUGAUUUGGAGUAAGUCUGAAGAGAAACUUGACUUGGUUAUCGUUAAUUUGUAUGCGUGUGUGUGAAUGUCGGUUUUGCUUUUGGGACAAUGUGAAAGCUUCAGUGGUUUGGCCUGUUUUUUGUGUACAAUUAGAUUUUAGCAUGAUAAAAAAGACAACAAAUUAGUAUUAAAUCUGUUUACUUUGUCUCUGACAACAUGUACUGUAAACUUGGAAAUCAUGUCAUCAAUAAUUGAUGUUUGCAUGUUAUUUUUUGGGUAUGUGUGCACGUCAUUGCCACAAAAUAUAAUUUACUCUACAUUUCUAACAGGUGAAAGUAGUUGUUUCAUUCUCAUCUCAUUGCAAUGCUUGUGGGAAUACUUAAAUAUUGGAGUGUAUGAUUAAUCGACAAUGAAAAAUUUUUGGGAAAUGCAGCAAGGAAUCAUAUUGGUUCCUCAACUCAAAUAUAGUUGAAUCAGUCAUUUUAGUGAGAUCAUAUUGCACAUUUUAGUAUCCAGUGUUCAUGCCAGAACUGAUGUUUCAGUUCAGAUUGUUAACCCUUGUGCGUCAAUUUAAAAAAAUGUUACACAGAGGUCCUUAGAAGACAAAAAUGUCCAUGUUAAAAACGGUCAUAAAAAUAGAUAUGAAUAUUUUUUUCCGCUUUCCUUGAUAUACAUGUUUUUACCAGCAUCCGUCCUGAUCAUAACUACCAAAAAAUGCAAUCAUUUUUAGGAUUUUAACCCUUUAAAUGCUAGUUUGUUUACAUAA